CCUACGGGCGGCAGCAGUGGGGAAUAUUGGACAAUGGGGGGAACCCUGAUCCAGCCAUGCCGCGUGUGUGAAGAAGGCCCUCGGGUUGUAAAGCACUUUCAGUGAGGAAGAACGCCUGGUGGUUAAUACCCAUCAGGAAAGACAUCACUCACAGAAGAAGCACCGGCUAACUCCGUGCCAGCAGCCGCGGUAAUACGGAGGGUGCGAGCGUUAAUCGGAAUUACUGGGCGUAAAGCGCGCGUAGGUGGCUUGAUAAGCCGGUUGUGAAAGCCCCGGGCUCAACCUGGGAACGGCAUCCGGAACUGUCAAGCUAGAGUGCAGGAGAGGAAGGUAGAAUUCCCGGUGUAGCGGUGAAAUGCGUAGAGAUCGGGAGGAAUACCAGUGGCGAAGGCGGCCUUCUGGACUGACACUGACACUGAGGUGCGAAAGCGUGGGUAGCAAACAGGAUUAGAUAGCCGGGUAGUC
rnacentral:rRNA from 1 species